GACGAACGCUGGCGGCGUGCCUAAUACAUGCAAGUAGAACGCAGUUGCGAACGGGUGAGUAACGCGUGGGUAACUGCCUCAUAGCGGGGGAUCACUCUAGGAACCGAUAGCUAAUACCGAUUACUGUGAGAUGGACCUGCGAUGUAUUAGCUAGUUUGUUAGGUAAAGGCUCACCAAGGCGACGAUACAUAGCAGAGCUGCGAGGGUGAUCGGCCACACCGGGAAUGGGGAAACGGCCAGACGCCGUCUGGAGGCAGCAGGUGGGAAUUUUGGGCAAAGGGAGGAAGUCUGACCGAGCAACGGCGGGGGAGGGAAGAAGGUUUGCGGAUCGUAAAACUCUGUUGUUAUAGAAGCGGUAACUAACCAGAAAGGGACUGCUAACUACGUGCCAGCAGCCGCGGUAAUUC
rnacentral:rRNA from 1 species